GAUAAGUGUUACUUAUCAAAUUAAUUGUUUUGAUAAUCAGUUACUCUUGGUUCCUCAGCCUCUUGAAGCUGCACAGUACUCGUCAAGUUCUUGUGGAGGGCUCAAAUCAGGGGGGUCAGAACUGACAACAGGAGGAUGGUCCAAGCAGCCUGAAGCCCAGUGCUGGGGAUCGUCUGCUCAGUGCAGGUUUUUUGGAGAUUCUCUGAAGAGUAUGUUGAGUGUUGAAAAAUAGUGGUGAGUGAACCAAAAGAUUAUUUAGGUUUGUUUUUCUUCACCUUCAUGACAAGAAUAAGACUUUCCCAUCAGUUGUGGACAUGGAUACUCAAGCUCAUGAUCCGCUGAAAUAUUUGCGUGCCUCAUUAAGAAGGUGAUGAUGGUGUGCUGUAUUGCCAUUUUCACAGUCUACUCGCUACUUCUAACAUAGGAGUUGAAAGUUAUUACCUGAAGAUUGUUUCUGAACAACUAAAGGAUUAAGGCUGUUUCUGUUCUAGUGAGCAAAACCCUGUCCUUCACUUCCACGGAGCUGAAUGAACAAAGAUCUCUUCCCUUCUAGUGUCAGCCAUCUCACCCAACAUUUGAUUCCUGAGAUUACUUCUCCUACAGAAGGACCCUACUGUUUCAUCAGAACUCAAAAACAAAGUAACAGAAGUCAGCAUUAGUUUCCUUGAAGAAAUGUCUUCAGUGCCAGCCCUUCAUCCAGCUUUUUGCACUCUGUUUUAAAAUGAGAAAAAACUUUGCAAUCGGAUGCAGCUGGUGUUCUUCACUGAUACCUUCCUCAUUUUCAGAAGAUUAAGUUCUUCAGUAUGUCAUAUUGGAAUUCCUGGCCUAUAAAGUAUCUGCAUGCAUUGCCCUGUCAACCUUGGCGUGUAUGCAGCAGGAAACCAGGACAUACUUUCUGCUCUGUUAUGAGGAAUAAACUUGCCAAGCAACUGGAGAAGUCCCACACAUAACAGGUAUUUUGUAGUUCAGGAUCCUGACUUGACUCUGUAGAUAAAUAUCUUGAUGUUAACUCACACAAAGCAGCUAAUGCACAGGAACAAAUGCAGAAUCACCUUGUCUGUGGUGUGUAACAGCGUCAUCCCAAUCUGUGAUCAAAAUGUAUAUUUGCAUGUAUAAACCCACAUAAGUUCUGGCUAUGAAGAACUUUGAGCAGAAGAAGAAAUUACUCUGCACCACUUCAUUUUUAGCAAAGAAAAAUGAAGCUUUAAAGACCUCUAAGGUUACAAGAUAAUGAUUAAGUUCACAUUAAUCAUUCCCUCCUUUGGGCUUUUUAUGGAUCCUCAGCAGCAAAAGGAACAAAACCAUUCUACAGUUGAAAAGAUGUGACAGAACUUCUUUCUUUAUUAAAGAAAUUAACUUCUGGUGAGAUGGAGGAGACCUGAGGUAUAAAGCUGCAGCUUACGCCCUGCAGCUUCCAUGACACAGAUUCAGCUUUUUCAUAGCGCUGAUGGAAUCCGAUUUUUGAUUCUUUUGUGACUGAGAACUGAGAUGAUUUGUAUGUUUCCAUCGUCUCCGCCCAGAAUGAGCUCAGCCAUGUAAGAGGUACGAGUUGAGAGAGAGUAAAAAUGCUUAGGGUUGGGACUUUUUCUGGUGGUUCUUAUUCCUUCCCAAAUUAAGGCGCUAUCUGUUGUUCUUAUGUUUACACAGGGUUCUCUGUCUCCAUUGUUUGUGAUUAUAUAAGAUAUUUUCAAUCAUUUUCAGGUGGGAUCUUAUACUGUUCACAUGCUCCUUGCUAUGGUAUUAUAUAUGGCAAGUAAGAUUUCUUGGCAAAAACUAAUCUCCAUUUCAAGUCUGGAUCUCUUAGUGCACCUUAAUCCAAACUUGCAAUUUACAAAAUGAUUUAGCUUAAAAUAUUUUUAAAUUUGGAUCAAAUAAGGGAUAUAUGUUCUAGCACUAUGUUUUGGGGAAUAACGGCAUGGUUAGGUGGUGGGGUGUUUGUUUUGUUUUGUUUUUUUUUUGUUUCAGAAAACUACUGGAGAGAGCCAGACAGCCUGAAAAUGGCUGGAAGAGCCAACAGUUGAAAUCUUUCUUAAAUCUUACUGAUAGAUUGCAAGGGCAGUAUUCUGAAACUUAAAACGUGGUGAAAUGUUAUGGGGACCGAGUUUCCAUAGCAGAAGGACAGAUGUUGGUACUGAUCCUGUUCCUUGGGGUAACGUUAGAUCUGUGUUUAGACUUGCAUUGUAACAAUAAGAUUUAAUGAAAGCCCUUCCCGUUUGUUUUGGUCUGAUCUUCAUGGAGACAUGCAAGCUAAGCAGGGUGGUUAAGACACUGCGUAUCAAAAUUAUGCCCACUGUAACAAGUAGAGGUGCACUUAAAUUAUAUGCAAUAUUGUGAUGAACUGUGUUCCUUUUAUUAGUUUAGAUGAGUUAUAUUAAUCCUGUUGAGGCAACCACCAACUUGGCUUGAUUUAUUUUAAGAAUAUGGGAUUUCUUUGCUGAAUGUGAUCUGAAUUUUCUGGUACGAGAUGCGUCUAGAGAAGCACGCUUUUCAUUUAGAACCUCCUUAUGUUGAAACCAAUAGGAAUCAUCUAGCAUAGUAGAUGUCUGUAGAAGCAGGAUCCAUCUCUAUCUGAUGGAAAAUACUAUUAAUAUCUUAGGAUUAUGUGUUGGAAGGUGUCUAGUAUAGGAAUCAUCUGAUCUUGAAUCUUGGCAUUUCCUUUACUUCCUUCUGCCCAUGCUUGUCUUUCUGACAUUAGAGCUAGCAGUUGAUUUCUUGCAUAGCUUGAUAACAAAAUACUUGAGGGACAGGAAUGUACUUUUCCUCUUCUGUGGAUAUGAACAAAAACUUAAAGACCUUUCUGACUAGAGAGUAGACGCUUUCAGCCCUUUGGUUGCCACUUGUGUAAGAAUAACCCUCAACAUUUUGUAACCCUGCGUUGUAACAAAAAAAAUAGAACUGACUUCUAACCCCGGCAAUGGAACAACGUUAGUUUUCAAGUUGUAGCUUAGAACAUAACGUUUUUAGCGGGGCUGAAGAUCUGUGGCUUUCGCAGAAGUAAUACUCCAAUAAUGCGUGCCCAGAAGACCCCACUGCCAUACCUUUCCAGCGGCUUCCUAUAAAACCGCUGUUAGGAAAUGCUGCCUCAGCCUACUUACUUUUUCUUGCUCCACUUUUUCUCUGUGUUGGUUGGAAAUCUUCCUGUGUGAAAGAUGACAGAAACAAGGGGCAUGUGCAAUAGAUCAUAUAUAUAUACAUAUAUAUAUUUUAAUACUUGUGGACAAAAUGAUGUUACAAGUUGUUUGAAAACAACAAAAUCACCAAUGUCUUCCAUUUUGAGAUGUGUAUAGUUCCAUAAGCAUUAGUGCUUUGUAGCAAACAGUAGUGCCAUGUUAGGAUCAGUGCAUGAGCCUAGUAGUAUUUUUACAAUUUCAGAGUGACAAAUUUAUUAAUAAACCGUGAUGAUAAUGUAAUUAACAAUAGAAAGGAUACAGUAGAAAUGUCACAAACAUGGUCUAAGUAUGCAGUAUCCUCCCUUUGGCAAUGAUAAUGCUAUCUUUAGGAAUAGAACGGGCUUCAUAGAAUCAUUAAUGUUUUGUUUUCAGCGUAUCUUUGUAGUGUAUGUAAGCAUCCAGAAUUCUCAUCUCUGUCACAGGUUAUUCUUUUCUUUUUAGUCUUUGUUGAAGGUGUUUUCUUCUAUGAGCAGCAUUUUCAGUUUUAUUACUACCCAUCGUAUGAUAUUAUCAGAAUUAUGAAUAUGCUGAAGAGUUAGUGUGCAUUUUGUGCACCUCUCUGCUACCUUAAUAUUAUUUAGAAAAUCUGUUAAGUUAAAAACAUACAUACAUUUCAAAUCUGAUUAUGUAAUUGUAAUAACCAGUUAAACAUUACUUUCACUUAUUUAGUAACUAGCUGCGAAAUGCUAUCUGCCAAUCUUACAUAAAGACUUAAUUCCUAUAAUAAUGGUUAGGUUUUUUUUUCUGAAGUCCUAUUGAAUCUUUUAACACCUUUGGUGGAUCCUGCAUUUACACACAUCUUAAUAAGAGAGAAUAUAAUAAGGUUAAGGGCUGUUGAAAAACAACAUUGCAGCCUGUAUCUGUUCAGCAGGCAAUAUCUAGCCUACAGAUCAUAGAUUCCCCACCUCUGUACUAUUGAGGAUUCAGUAUCUUGUAUUUUGGGUAACUUCCAGCAUUGCUUUCCAGCUAAUCUCAAUUUUAAUAACUUACGUCUCUCCCUCUGCUUUUUUCAGAAGGAAAACUUAAACUGGGGGAAGUUGAAAUGAUUUAGCACUCAGUGGGCAGCUUGGGCUGGUCAAAUAGGAGAUUGGUAUGAUUCCUGAGGUGUGUAGUGCUCUGUGGAUGGCAUCCUCUGACUUCCUUGGGAAAAAAACUCUUUUAUUUGGUGCCAGUGUUGCUCUUCACUCACUUCUCUCUUUACAAGAACAAAGUUCUCUCGUCAGUUUAGAGAGGAUACUGCAUCUUAUUUUUCCUGAGACAUGCCUCUAAAUGGCCAUUAGGAGGAGGGAUGGAAUGGGUGGCUCGGUUUUGUAAUUUUAAUAGGAUAUAUCUCUAAAGUAAUUAAUCAAGUAGCAUGUUCUUUGGUGCAAAACCAGUAAUCCUUGCAGAGUUAGUGUAGAUAACAGCGUCCCCCCACCUCUCUGCAUCUAAUGCGUUGCCAAGAAAAUUGGGUGGUUGGGCCAUUUACAGCAGAGCUCUGGGGGACUUGUGCUCAUUUAGGUUCAAUUCUGAACAGAAGUAGCUGUACCAUUGAAUAAAGUAGUUUAGUGCUUGGGAGAAUCAAUUGAAAAAUACCUCUGAAACUGGAAUGCAAAAUAGCACAGUAUGUAGGGGGAAGAAUCCCUGAUGCAAACAAAGCCAUAAGAUGAUUUAAUAAGAAAAUAGAACUUUAGUAGCAAUAACUGUUUUGCAUGUGAUAGUAAAUAACUUGCAUUAGCAAGGCUGUACAGUAGAGUAGGUGGGUAAUAACCAAAUAAGUUUGUGGCGCUCUGUGCUACAGGGAGUUGGGUGAAAGUCUCUUUUCCUAAGAUGGGUGAAUUCCUCUUAGUGUUCCUCUCGUUGGAGGGAAUUUGGUUGGCACUUGAAUACUUAGUUAAUUAACCUUAUACUACUCUUGAGCUGUGUCACAUAUCUGAAGCACUGUCAGUGAGUGCUGGGGAAGGGCAGGCAGUUCUUUCUGAAAUAUUCUCUCAGAUAGCUGAAGUUUCCCCGUUUCUUUUUCUUUUUCACAGUCUUACACUUGCUCUGCUUCUCUAAAGGGAAAUGAGACCCUUCCAAAUACUGGACUGCGGAAGGAAACUGUUUCUGAAAUUAGAAUUUUACUGUAGGUACUUCUUUUUAAAAAGACCAAUCUUGAUAUGAAUGACGGGUCUUAAAAAAUAAAAUAGAGAGUAUUUGUACAUCCCAAAGGAGAUUUUUAGGAUCCUAAAAAUGUUACUUUACAGCAAAAAUAAUUUUAGACUUGCUAAACAUUCUGUUCCAGACCAUUGAUUUCUGUUAGUGCUUGAAGUCUUGCUGAGGCAAGCACCGUGAAGCCUUUGGUUACAGAAAGGGAUAUUGAUCUACAGCCGUAGCCUCUGCACCCAGCAAGACAUUUGCUGUCAAAGGGUUACAUAAAAGAGCCACAGGAGUUCCAAAGCAUCCAUAGCUGACUCUGAUUUCAGUGCAGAUACGGAAGUCUGUGGAGACUAUAUGGCCCACAGAUGGUACUGUAUUCUGAACAGAAUUAUUGCGUCAGAAGCUUAGAUCUAUCUGGCUGGAUUUCUUCUAGAAAGCUGAAGUAAUUUGGAAUGCAAUUGCCAGCUGAAGGGAGGCUUUGAAUGUUCUGAGGUGACAUAGGGUGAAGCCUUUUGGCUCUUCAUAAGUUGGUAGUUGGGGUUGUUAAGGGCUGUGAAUGUUCUUAUGGUAUAAAGUAACCAAAAUACCCAUAAACACGUCUAAAUGGGUUCAAACAAUGUGCAUGAAAAGCUAACUGAUUGGGGAAGCUACAAUCAGCUUAAAUUCCAGCUAGUGAAUUAUUGAUAAAACUGGGAGCUUUGGGAUCCAACUACAUUAAAAAAAUCACAGAUUUCAUGUGAUUGGCAAAUAUGUUUACAUGACAACAAAUUAAUAAUGAAAACAUGGUCAUGUUUAAACUUCAUGCUUCUGAACUUUGUGGCAGAACAGAAAUUUUCAAGGUCUCAUUAAUUUAGAGGAGGGGAGGAAAUCAAGACUUGUAGCUAGGCAAGCUAUCUGCAUAUUCUUCUCAGUUCAGACGUCAGUAUAUACUAUCCUGGAAAUCAGUUUUCACAGCUGCGAAGGAAAUUCCAUUGCCUUUCAGUUGCUGUGUUACGGCAUGAUUUUUGUUCCAAACUAAACUCCUUGGUUUCGCUGCUUCUAAAACUAAGUAGCAGUGUUGUAUGCUACGACACUGUGGGAUAUGAAAAGUGUAGUGCCCACCACUGACAUCAUUACGGAGACCACCCAUUUAGCGGUAGUAACCCCAGAAGCUCCAUGUAAAUCCCGUUCCUUACCCAGUGGUGCUGCUGCAGUAGGUCUAGCCAGUGCUUGUGUUGGGAGCUGCAACUUGACAAAUGGCACCUUCUGCAGCUGAGCGUAAUUGUCAAACGUAGGGCAAAAAUAAAAGGCUUGCAAAGGCUACUUGAUAGUGAGUGAGAACAAACUGCAGUGUGCUUUAGGGCGCUGACAUGUUAUACGAGGGUUAUGUUAACAAGAGCUGGCAGUAUGUUUUUGAGCAGAAAAUGGAAAAGUAUGGAAGAGAAUGUUUUUUGAUGGAUUACCAGAAAUAGAAAUAACUGCGUCUCUAGUAAGGAGUCUGGUCUUCCUUCAGAGCUUAAUCCAGCUUGCUGUUCGGGUACAGAGCUGCAUAAUGGCAGUUCAAGUUGGAUUCCAUUGCUUUUCUUUUACUGAACAAUCCAGCAUAUUGCCCCUGUAGCACUUUGUUUGGCACACAAAAGCCAGCAGUCAAACCAGGGUGUCUCAUUUGACAGUGCAGAACACUACCAUAAUUUGUUCCCUUUCAUUCUGCUCUGCACUUUCUCCUGAGUUUCCAGAAUGUGUAGGUGUACUUGACAUAAGCAAGGAGUGUGUCUCUGUCUCUGAGCCUACGUACCAGGUUGUAAUGUAGACAGAUUUCCCAAGGCUUUACGACAUCUGAGGUUCAGGAUAAAAGGUAACUUACUGUUUAGCGUGUCCCGUGUAAGUCUUGUCUGCUUCUCCUCUUCCCCUCCAAAUGAGCACGUUUGCAGGUCAAAUAAAAGGCGUCUGGUUUGUGAUGCCUUAGGCAUGAAGAACUGCAUGGAGAAACUGAAGGAAAAUGGCACAGGCCCACAAACCAAAUCUUAGAGCUAGUAUUCUAAUUAUGCAUGAUUCACAAUGUCUAGUGUAAUGUAGUUAUUACCAGUAAAUGGAGAUAUGCAUUUAUACAUAAUGAAGCAAUAGGAAAUUAUAUACCAAUAGCUUGAACUUCCUGCUUUGAUUCUCAAAUUUUGGGAUUGUUUUGUUUUUGUUUUUAGAGAAUGUGCUGCCUCUGUAGAGAAGGAGGCAGAAUGUAUAGAUAGGGUCAGAAGCAUGGCACCAAAACUGUAAAUCAGGAACCAGGAUCAGCAGAACUCGCCUUCAUAACCUCUUGUCUGGUUCGUAUUAGUGCCCUGAGCAUGUAUAAAGCAGGGCAUGAACUAAGCAUGUUUAGGGGCGAGAUGAGGUUUCUCACCUGCUGCAGCUGUAGCAAAGAAAAGGGUGCAGAGUUUCUUACAUGGUGCAGGGGGGAGCAACUGGUGGAAAAAAGGGAACAAUGGUAACAGAAGCAACAGACUCAAAAUGAGUGUAGUAUUUGCCAGACGGUAGGUAAUAAGCUUGUCUGUGGUGAGAGAAAUUAUUUGGAGAAGACUGAAAUUAAUAAGCACAGUACAUAUAUUUCAGGUGUUGAAUAGCUUUUUAAUAGACAGUAUUUUCAGGUAACUCUCUAGCCACAUAGGCAGCUGUACUGAAGCAUACUGGUACCAGCCAGCAAUAAUGGCAUCUGCAGGAACGAACCUGAAAAUACUGGUAAUCUUGUAUAUUUUUUAAGUUCUUUGAAAAGGAGAUUUUUAAAAUCAGAAAAUGAGAUUUGAUCACUGAAGGUCUUUAUCUUCUGCAACACGGGUUGCAAUAUAAUCUUUUUUUUUCUUUAUUUCACUUAUUAAAUAAAAGGGAACUUGGGUGCCAUCUUUCUGUAAACUUUUAUUCUGCUUUCUGUAAUAUCUCCCAAGUCCUUUAGUGAAUAAUGCAGUGGAUUUCUGCUGGUGGUUUGAAAAUAACGUAGAACGUGGCACAGUCCAUGUCACCAACGCUUUUCCUAUUUUCAAGUAGAAUACUAGCGUGUUACUGCAGAAUUCCAUACUUGUAGCUUAGCUUAAUUUUGCAGGUGGGCUUAACUUGUGCAGAAAACUUCUCUGUGUACAGGGGCUCGGUCCUCUUUCUGAAGCAGAAAGGGGUGGUGUCUCGGAGGAAGGAAUUGUGUCAAGUUAACUCCUGGUCAUGCUUUGUAGCCAACCAUCCAUAAAGCUCCAUGAUUUGGGUUUAGAAUGGGGCCAUGUUUUUCUCACAAAUGCUUUCUAGAUAUACAAGAAUUGCCAAAUAAAUAUAGGAAUAUUAUAAGAGAAGAUUUAACUAUUUUACUGUACCGAAGUUAGAUUAAAUGAAAUCCUUCGAGCCAACUUCUUCAAGACAAAAUGGAAUUGGUAAAACAAGUUUAGCCCAGCAGUUAACUGUGACCACCUAAUGCUGAGUUGGGUAUUUUUUUAGAACAUUUCACAUGGUUUUAAACUGUUAUGUGUGUUUUCUUUUGUGUGAUGAGUAAGCACUUGGAUCCAUUGUUCGUGCUUAUCCUCUCCAAUAGAAAACCCGGGGAGUAAGCUACUUUAGGACUUCAGUGAAGUUAUCUUCCUUUUGAGAAACAUGAUCUAACAGCGAAGGAGAAGUAGUAAUUACAGAUUGUUUGAAAAUAGCUCAAUACUUACAAACCAGGUUGGAGAAGACUUCUUACACUGAACUUCUGAUGGCAUUACUCACGUGGGUUAGUGGAGACAAUUACCGGUGUCGCUAGGAUCUGUGUGCUCGCAUUGCACGUGUUUUACAUGGUAACAGUAAAAGAAUGUUUCCCUGCAAAUUCUGAUGUUUUUUCCAAAAGGCAGCUUGCUUUUAUAUCUAUGCAUCUUUGAGGAUUUCAAGAUAAGAUUUUAUUCUUUUGACGCUGUAAAGAGGAACUGUUUAAAAAUGAACUUGGAAACUCUGCACCUGUAUACAAAUUUUUUUAGCAAUAAAGCAGCACAGGCUGAGAAUGCACUGAG
ensembl:lncRNA OIP5-AS1 OIP5 antisense RNA 1